GCCCUCGUGGUGUAAUGGUCAGCAUGCUCGACCUGUAUUCGAGAGGUCCGUGGUUCGAAUCCCGGCGAGGACA